AGCGAACGCUGGCGGCAGGCCUAACACAUGCAAGUCGAGCGCCCCGCAAGGGGAGCGGCAGACGGGAGAGUAACACGUGGGAACGUACCCUUCAGUUCGGAACAACCCAGGGAAACUUGGGCUAAUACCGGCUACGCCCGAAAGGGGAAAGAUUCAUCGCUGAAGGAUCGGCCCGAGACUGAUUAGCUAGUUGGGGGGGGAAUGGCCCACCAAGGAGACGAUCAGUAGCUGGUCUGCGAGGAUGAUCAGCCUCACUGGGACUGAGACACGGCCCAGACUCCUACGGGAGGCAGCAGUGGGGAAUAUUGGACAAUGGGCGCAAGCCUGAUCCAGCCAUGCCGCGUGGAUGAUGAAGGCCCUAGGGUUGUAAAGUCCUUUCGGCGGGGAAGAUAAUGACGGUACCCGCAGAAGAAGCCCCGGCUAACUUCGUGCCAGCCGCCGCAGUAACAC
rnacentral:rRNA from 1 species